rnacentral:lncRNA from 10 species
GAGCACAGAGGAGACAGGGAGUGCUUCAUGUAGUCAGUGGCAUAUAAUCUGGAUCUUAGGGUAUGGGGAGGGAGGACUGGAAUAGUUGGCAGUGAGGAGAGACCACUCUGGGUGGCAGAAAUGGCUUGAGCAAAGGUUCAGAUGCAAGGAAGUGCAAGGUGUGACUGAAGCAAGCUCUCUAUAGGGGAACAAUGGGAUGCAGUUCUGAAAAGGCAGAUUGUGGUUAAGGCUUUGAGAGCUGAACUACUAACAAGUUCUUUCUUUAGGUAAUCAGGAGCCAAAGAAAUUAAGUAUGUGUGUGAAAUGAUCAAAGAGAUGCUGUAAUAGUAUUAACGUGGCAGGCAGCAUUCAGGAUGGAUUGGAUGUGGGGAGGGGCUGGAGAGCGAGCAUAGUUGAGAGGCUACAGUGCUGACUGUCUUAGGGAGGUGAGUAGGAGGUAGGUAGGAUGAUGGCAAAGGGAAGAGUGAAGUAGGGGCAGCUGUGAGAUAAGGAAGCUCGUAUUGGAUGGUCUUGGAAGAAGGUCUUGCAUUCAGAGUAAAAGCAUAAGAUCGUGGUGAAGGCUUGAAAAAAAUGUGAGUGGAUUAGAGGAAUUGCAAAUAGAAGCGCAAUUUGGAUUCAAGGCAGAUGAUGAGUGAAGGUACAGAAAAGUUAGAUGACUUGCCCAGGGUCCUUUGGCUGGAAGCUAGCAGAUCUGAGACUUGAGCCAGGCCUCAUCUCUCCAGAGCAGGUUGGGUUUCCUGAAAAGCAGAUGCUGACAAGACAGUAUGCAAAAGAUUAAGUAAGAUGGUUCCUUGGGGUCAACACCUGUGGAAGAGAAGGAAAGGAAGCAGGAUUGUUUAAAGCAAGAAAUUUGGGCUCUGAUGCAGUCCCAGUAAAAUUCGCAGUUGACCCCACAGGAAGUUCUGGUGCUGGCAUGAUUCUUCAGAGUUGUACAGGUUGGACAAGAUGGAUCUCUUCAAUUCCUGGAGGGGUUGACAGCUGAGAGCUUUGCACCAGCAGCACUCCCACUAGCUGGACGUGCAUGCCCUUCCAAUGCAUAAUAUUACCUAUGAUACUCUCCUGUGGGAUUUAGCUGUUUGUAGCAUCAAUGCAAAAUACUUAUUUUAAGAGUUUCCAACAUCACUGCAUUUAGCUUUAGAAAAUUGUACCAUCACUGUCAUAUUUCUCAACUGUCUCUUCAAGGACAUGGGGGUCAUAUCAUUCUGGGUCUUUUCUUUCUUGGGUUCCAUUAGAAAUGCAGAAAUCUCUGGUUGACAAGAAUGGCCACAUGGCUAGCAAAGAGGUCAUACCAAAAGUUUCUUUAAGGCAUUACUUAAUGUUCAUGCAAAGAGGGCAAAGUUUUGGAGACCAUGUUAUAUUUGUGUAAGCUCCAUUAGUAACAAGCCUGGCUCCUGAAUGCUACUUCAGGGAUAGAUAGCAUGAAAAAUCUUGGGAAAGGAAUAGCAUUGCAGAAAGUCCUCCAAUAUUAAAAACUUAAGAAAUGUGCUUUAGGCCUUGGAUUUAGUACCUUCACUUGUGUCCAAGGGUUUAUAUUACAAAGAGGAUUGAAGUACACUAAAUUGUGAGCCAGGCUAGAUUACUUCUAGGAUGUCUUCUAACUCAAGGUCUGAGAUUCUAAGAGACUCCACAGGGUCUUCAACAUUUUCCAGAUUUUAGCUUUGCUAAUUGCAUAUGCUCUCAAGAAUUACAUUUCAGCUGAAAUUCACUGAGUUAGUGCACUCCCAUCACAACCAAAAUGCAUUCUGAGUGGUUUUACAGCAACAGCUUGUGGCUGACAGGCAAUGGAAAAAGAUACAGGAUAAUCUAUGGCCUCCAAGGAAUCAGUCCAGGAGUAAAGACAGCCUCAGGGCUUUCAAGGUGGUUCUUAUCAGCAUAGCACUAGAGCACCUGCAUUUUCUCGUGGACAGAAGAAUCAGGGAGCUGGCUUUGCACAGUGUUGGAUUUGAGAUUUCCCUUCUGCACUUCAUUUUCCCGAUGGCAAAAUAAGAGGGAGGCCCCAAAUGAACUUUAAGCUUCCUCUCAGCCUUAACACUCCAUGACUAAAACAUAAACUUGGUCCAGUAACUUGUCUUCCAUCUGUGCCCCCGUAAAAAUUAAACCUAAGAGAAGCUAUUAAAGGAAUGCCUGAGCAAAAAUGUAAUUUGUCUUUGGAUAGACAUAAAGUUACUGUUAAGAAAAUAAUUUCCAGUGGCAUCCAGGGUGGCUCUUCACUAGAGAGCCAGGCUUGUGUUUUAAUAAGGCUUUGAGCCAGAUACAGAGAGGAGAGAAACUAUUCUUCAUGAAUCCAGGCUGUGGCAUUCUUCACAAAGACCUUGAAGAACGCAGACCCCAAGCUCUCGGGAUGCUUUAUCAUUUUAUCUAGAAUUAAAUUAAUAAACUUGGUAAAGUCUGUGCUCUAUAGAAAGUCUGUGUUAGCACACAUAAUGAAAACGGAAGCAAAACUGUUCAUAAAUAGAUUAUGAAGCCAGAAAAUCUGUAGCGGUCAAAGAGAAACAAUUGUUUGAAGUUACUUAAGCCCAGCCAAAAGUCUGUUGCUAGCCACUCUCUGGAAAUGCAAUACCUCUUCCAUCUCCUCCAGCCUCCCACUUAUCACAGUGCAGUUGCAUCUUUCUGUUGGUCUAGGGUUUCUAAUUGAGCAUUACUCAGUUUGCAUUUCUAUCAUGGAGACGCAGAGAUGUCUGUAGGUUAUCAGAAGAAAGAACCCUUGAUAGACUGUGUAGGUGAACUCCCUUUCCCUACAUAGGGUCCAGGAAGAAAUUACCUAUAAUUUGUAACAGUGCAGCCUGGGAUCACCUGAAUCAUCUCCUCACAUGUGAAAAUAAAAAUCAACUGAGAAAUUAGAAUAUGUUGAGAAAGAAAAGCAAAGAGAAGGGGGAGGAAAAAAGUAUCAGAAUACAGCCAAGAUGCACGUUAUCGUCAUCUGUUUGUUUUAAUUGAAUGGUUUGUGUCUUCAGGCAAUCUCAUUAUUCUCCCCAAAGCAGAAGUGCUGAAUGAAGACACAAACUUCAUUAACCUUUGAAUGCUGAAAUCAAUAAUCUGCAAUAAAUCUAAGCUAAUUUGUUGCCAAUAAAUUUCACAAAAUGCAGUGUUUUAUAGCUGGGGACUUCCGAGGAUGGGGUAAAAGCAUCCACAUCUGUAUCAAGAUGGUAUCUGGGGUUUGUCUUGUUGGGUUUUAGGAUCCUCUGAACAGGAAACAGGUUAAUUACAUAUACAUAGAACAUGAUUUUCCAGUAGGGUUAAUAAUCUGUUUUUUUAGUUGUGAACACAAUGGGACCUUUUCUUGUCCCAUGACUCUUUCUAAUAAAUGACGCGAAUAAAGAGAAACAAACAGCUG